CUUCAACGCACCCAGCCACAGCGGCCGUUCGGCGUUGCGCUGCCCAUAGGUGGCCAGCAGCGCCUGGGCCUC
rnacentral:antisense_RNA from 1 species